rnacentral:lncRNA from 1 species
AUAGAUUGGCUACUAGGACCCUUGCCAAAGACUACCACCACAUCAUUUAUCAUAGAAAAUACACGCUUUCCGUUAUGGUGCAAAAGCUUAGCAUGAGUGUCACGCUCCCCACUAAAAUGUAUUUCAUCCUUUCUUAAUGGGUGAUUCGUAGGAAGAAAUUAACGAUGGCCCAUAUACAUGACCUUCUGAUAGUUUUUUCAAAUACAUGAUGUCAGUUUUAUCUAGACAGUGGGUGCAGGCCCAAUAUCCCUUGUUCAUCUAUCCCAAAAGGUUACUAAAUGUAGGCUAAUCAUUGAUGGUUAUGAAAAGCAAUGCUCGCAAGACGAAAGUCUCCUGUUUAUCCUCAUCCCACACAUGUACACCCUCAUCCUUCCAGAG